AGUGAACGCUGGCGGUAGGCCUAACACAUGCAAGUCGAACGGCAGCACAGUAAGAGCUUGCUCUUACGGGUGGCGAGUGGCGGACGGGUGAGGAAUACAGCGGAAUCUACUUUUUCGUGGGGGAUAACGUAGGGAAACUUACGCUAAUACCGCAUACGACCUACCGGUGAAAGCAGGGGAGCUUCGGACCUUUCGCGAUUGAAUAAGCCGAUGUCGGAUUAGCUAGUUGGCGGGGUAAAGGCCCACCAAGGCGACGAUCCGUAGCUGGUCUGAGAGGAUGAUCAGCCACACUGGAACUGGGACACGGUCCAGACUCCUACGGGAGGCAGCAGUGGGGAAUAUUGGACAAUGGGCGCAAGCCUGAUCCAGCCAUACCGCGUGGGUGAAGAAGGCCUUCGGGUUGUAAAGCCCUUUUGUUGGGAAAGAAAAGCAGCAGGUUAAUACCCCGCUGUUCUGACGGUACCCAAAGAAUAAGCACCGGCUAACUUCGUG
rnacentral:rRNA from 1 species